rnacentral:rRNA from 1 species
GCGAUCAUACCAGCACUAAUGCUCCGGAUCCCAUCAGAACUCCGCAGU